rnacentral:rRNA from 1 species
UACGAAGGGUGCGAGCGUUAUUCGGAAUUACUGGGUGUAAAGAGCGUGUAGGCGGUCUGAUAAGUCAUUCGUUAAAGAGCUCGGCUUAACUGAGCAACUGCGGGCGAAACUAUCGGACUAGAGUACAAGAGAGAAGAGUGGAAUUCUCGGAGUAGCGGUAAAAUGCGUAGAUCUCGAGAGGAACACCGGUUGCGAAGGCGGCUCUUUGGCUUGUAACUGACGCUUAAGCGCGAAAGCGUGGGGAGCAAACAGG